UACGUAGGGUGCAAGCGUUGUCCGGAAUUAUUGGGCGUAAAGAGCUCGUAGGCGGUUCGUCGCGUCGGCUGUGAAAUCCCGAGGCUCAACCUCGGGUCUGCAGUCGAUACGGGGCGGACUGGAGUUCGGCAGGGGAGACUGGAAUUCCUGGUGUAGCGGUGAAAUGCGCAGAUAUCGGGAGGAACACCGAUGGCGAAGGCAGGUCUCUGGGCCGAUACUGACGCUGAGGAGCGAAAGCGUGGGGAGCGAACAGG
rnacentral:rRNA from 1 species